GGGUCCCCUGACCUCGGCUAGCACCUUGACUAUUCUUUGGUACGUUAGUCCAGCCAUUCUAAGGCCCGGUAAUACGUUACCUAUUAGUCAUCUGUGUAACACAAUUCUACGUGCUGGAUCAUAUAGUAAUCCUGACAGUUCUAUACCACUCGCUGGCGUUCAGGCAUGGCUCCUUAAGGAUGGAAUAGAACGCCCGCCAUCCUUAAGUGGUUAAAGCCAGUAGCCAAGCUGAAAGCAUUCACUAACUUUAUAAAUUUGGUAUUUUGGCUCUACAUUUAUGCAGUUCUCAUGCAAAAUCCUACCAGUCUGUGGUAUCAACAAAACACACACUUAAAGGACCACUCUAGGCACCCAGACCACUUCAGCUUAAUGAAGUGGUCUGGGUGCCAGGUCCAGCUAGG